GAUCGGAUCAAGCGCGAGAAGGGCGUUUGGUGGAUGCCUUGGCAGUAAGAGGCGAUGAAGGACGUGAUACUCUGCGAUAAGUCCUGGGGAGCUGAGAAUAAGCUUUGAUCCAGGAAUUUCCGAAUGGGGCAACCCACCUGAAAGUUCGUUAUAAUUGCCUUCGGGCAGCCUAUAACGGGCUUAAACAGGUACUUUUAACCUGAACACAUAGGGUUUUAAGAGCAAACCCGGGGAACUGAAACAUCUAAGUACCCGGAGGAAAGGACAUCAAUAGAGACUCCCCUAGUAGCGGCGAGCGAACGGGGACCAGCCGAGUCCUGAGAGUGAACAGAAUGGUCUGGAAUGGCCAACCACAGCGGGUGACAGUCCCGUAUGUGAAGCUCGAUGGAACGUAUCAAGUAGGGCGGGACACGUGAAAUCCUGUUCGAAGAUCGGAGGACCACCUCCGAAGGCUAAGUACUCCUUACUGACCGAUAGCGAACCAGUACCGUGAGGGAAAGGUGAAAAGCACCCCGACGAGGGGAGUGAAACAGUACCUGAAACCGAACGCCUACAAUCAGUCGGAGGCUCCUCGAGAGCUGACGGCGUACCUUUUGUAUAAUGGGUCAUCGACUUGGUCUAUCUAGCAAGCUUAAGCCGUUAGGUGUAGGCGCAGCGAAAGCGAGUCUUAAUAGGGCGUCGAGUUAGAUGGAUCAGACCCGAAACCGAGUGAUCUAGGCAUGACCAGGAUGAAGGUUAGGUAACACUAACUGGAGGUCCGAACCCACACCUGUUGAAAAAGGUCGGGAUGAGUUGUGCCUAGGGGUGAAAGGCCAAUCAAACUCGGAGAUAGCUGGUUCUCCGCGAAAUCUAUUUAGGUAGAGCGUCAUCCGAAUACCCCUGGGGGUAGAGCACUGGAUGGGUAAUGGGGCCCCACAGGCUUACUGAUCCUAACCAAACUCCGAAUACCAGGGAGUACUAGAUGGCAGACACACUGCGGGUGCUAACGCCCGUAGUGGAGAGGGAAACAACCCUGACCUCCGGCUAAGGCCCCCAAUUCAUGGCUAAGUGGGAAAGCAGGUGGGACGACCAAAACAACCAGGAGGUUGGCUUAGAAGCAGCCAUCCUUUAAAGAUAGCGUAACAGCUCACUGGUCUAAUCAAGUUGUCCUGCGGCGAAGAUGUAACGGGGCUCAAGCCAUGAGCCGAAGCCGAGGAUGCGCAUAGCGCAUGGUAGCGGAGCGUAGUGUGACAU
rnacentral:rRNA from 1 species